AGAGCUUGAUCCUGGCUCAGAAUGAACGCUGGCGGCGUGCUUAACACAUGCAAGUCGCACGAGAACGCUUUAGCUUGCUAAAGCAAGUAAAGUGGCGCACGGGUGAGUAACGCGUGGGCAAUCUACCUCCGAAUCGGGGAUAACAUUGCGAAAGCGAUGCUAAUACCGGAUGACAUCCUGAAGGCCUUGGUUUUAAGGAUCAAAGGUGGCCUCUACAAGUAAGCUACUGUUUGGAGAUGAGCCCGCGUACCAUUAGCUUGUUGGUAGGGUAACGGCCUACCAAGGCGACGAUGGUUAGCUGGUCUGAGAGGAUGAUCAGCCACACUGGAACUGACACACGGUCCAGACUCCUACGGGAGGCAGCAGUGAGGAAUUUUGCGCAAUGGGGGAAACCCUGACGCAGCAACGCCGCGUGAGUGAUGAAGGCUUUCGGGUCGUAAAGCUCUGUCAAGUGGGAAGAAACCACGAGGUGAUAAUAUCGCUUUGUGCUGACGGUACCACUGAAGGAAGCACCGGCUAACUCCGUGCCAGCAGCCGCGGUAAUACGGGGGGUGCAAGCGUUAUUCGGAAUCAUUGGGCGUAAAGGGCGCGUAGGCGGUUUGUUAAGUCAGAUGUGAAAGCCCGGGGCUCAACCCCGGAAGUGCAUUUGAUACUGGCGGACUUGAGUAUGGGAGAGGGAAGUGGAAUUCCUGGUGUAGAGGUGAAAUUCGUAGAUAUCAGGAGGAACACCGGUGGCGAAGGCGACUUCCUGGACCAAUACUGACGCUGAGGCGCGAAGGCGUGGGUAGCAAACAGGAUUAGAUACCCUGGUAGUCCACGCAGUAAACGGUGAUCACUAGGUGUAGCGGGUAUUGACCCCUGCUGUGCCGCAGUUAACGCAUUAAGUGAUCCGCCUGGGGAGUACGGCCGCAAGGUUAAAACUCAAAGGAAUUGACGGGGGCCCGCACAAGCGGUGGAGCAUGUGGUUUAAUUCGACGCAACGCGAAGAACCUUACCUGGGUUUGACAUCUCGGGGAUUUUUUGGAAACAAGAAAGUGCCCUUCGGGGAGCCCGAAGACAGGUGCUGCAUGGCUGUCGUCAGCUCGUGUCGUGAGAUGUUGGGUUAAGUCCCGCAACGAGCGCAACCCUUAUCUUUAGUUACCAUCACUUCGGGUGGGGACUCUAAAGAUACUGCCCCGGUCAACGGGGAGGAAGGUGGGGAUGACGUCAAGUCCUCAUGGCCUUUAU
rnacentral:rRNA from 1 species